UGACUGCGCAUGCGAGCUAUGGAUAUUCUCACGCCUUCUGCAUGAGAGGGAAAAGGACCAAUAUGGUCAUUUAUAGCAGGCCUGGGCGAACUUGGGCCCUCCAGGUGUUUUGGACUUCAACUCCCAUCAUUCCUAACAGCCUCAGGUCCCUUCCUUUCCCCCCUCAGCCGCUUAAGGAUUUGAGAAAUCUUUCCCAGAGCUAUUUUGGAAGCACCCAGGUUCAUUCUUCUUACUGACUGCUGACCUGAAGGUUGGGUUGCUGACCUGAAGAUCGUCGGUUCGAAUCCACAAGACAGGGCAAGUUCACAUCCAUCAGCUCUAGCUUGCAGGGACAUGAGAGAAGCCUCCCAGCAGGAUGAUAACACAUCCAGGCGUCCCCUUGGCAACGUCUCUGUAGACAGCCAAUUCUCUCACACCAGAAGUGACUUGCAGUCACAACCUCAGGGGAUGCCUGCCAUAGAUGUGGGCGAAACGUCAGGAGAGAAUACUUCUGGAACAUGGCCAUACAGCCUGGAAAACAUACAACCCUGUGAUCCUAAUAUUUCUGAAAUAUUAGUAUGACUAACUCUAAAGAAAUAGAGCAAAUUAGAAUAGUGGUCUAAGAAAUCUGGCAAGCAAACAUUAUAUUACCAAGAGAGGUUAGAAUGCUUCAGGCAUGUGAACAUCCUGAGGCAAAGCUGAAGCAGGUACUGCACUACCCAAUAUCUGUCAGGAAGUAGCUGCCAAUAAUGAAAGGAUCAAGGCAUUGACAUCUCCGGCACAUCCUCUAUUUGGAUAUAAGCCAUCAUGCGAACGCCUUAAAUAAAGAAACAGCUUCCUAAAAUCCACAGCCAUACUUGCAGGAACACCUCAGCAAGUGACGUCCAAAAGUGGCAGGCUAAAACCUGGAACCUCAACCAGUGGAUGAGACCGGAUGAGAAACUCCCUCCUAGGCACACAGAAAGCUGAGUGACUUGGAAGGUGCUGAACAGACUGCGCUCUGGCACCACGAGAUACAGAGCCAAUCUUAAGAAAUGGUGCUACAAAGUGGAGUCCACAAAAUGCGAGUAUGGAGAAGAGCAAACCACAGACCACUUACUACAAUGCAACCCGAGCCUUGCCACUUCUCAUAGUGACACCAGAGGCAUUCCAAGUGGCCAGCUUCUGGUCAAAGGAAAUCUAGUAUAAUGCCAAGCUUUUAACUUUAUGUUUUUAAAAUACAUUAUAACUGUCCUCAAUUUGCUUCUGACACAAUAAAUAAAAAUAAACUGGA